rnacentral:rRNA from 1 species
GAUGAACGCUGGCGGCGUGCCUAAUACAUGCAAGUCGAGCGAACAGAUGAGGAGCUUGCUCCUCUGACGUUAGCGGCGGACGGGUGAGUAACACGUGGAUAACCUACCUAUAAGACUGGGAUAACUUCGGGAAACCGGAGCUAAUACCGGAUAAUAUAUUGAACCGCAUGGUUCAAUAGUGAAAGACGGUUUUGCUGUCACUUAUAGAUGGAUCCGCGCCGCAUUAGCUAGUUGGUAAGGUAACGGCUUGCCAAGGCAACGAUGCGUAGCCGACCUGAGAGGGUGAUCGGCCACACUGGAACUGAGACACGGUCCAGACUCCUACGGGAGGCAGCAGUAGGGAAUCUUCCGCAAUGGGCGAAAGCCUGACGGAGCAACGCCGCGUGAGUGAUGAAGGUCUUCGGAUCGUAAAACUCUGUUAUUAGGGAAGAACAAAUGUGUAAGUAACUAUGCACGUCUUGACGGUACCUAAUCAGAAAGCCACGGCUAACUACGU